rnacentral:lncRNA from 1 species
CAAUGAAUGCGCAUCCACGGCGCUUUCUUUCCUUGCAAGGCUUGUCUUAACCCCUUGGGUCCGCACGCGCCAAUUUCAGGCGACCCCGCAGGCGAUAUGGCAGCAAUUUUGCUCUCCCCUCCCUCCUCUUUUGGAAUACCGAAGGACUGCAGUGGGCAUGAAAAAGGGAUUCAACUGAUUGCCCUGACUUUGUAAUAUUUUGGGGAGAAGCUUCAAUCAUCCCAUCUCUUUCCGGUCCGUGGCCAGAUUGGUGCCGGUUCUCGCCACAGCGUACCUCGGAAACCUCCCCCGGCACACCUCCGGGCGCGCAGAAAGAAGACUCCCCAGCACACACGCCUGCCUCCUCCCCCUCUGCCGAUGUUCUGUGAUUGGGUGGAAGGUCAUCGCUUUCUCAGACCUGUGGACCCUAUCCAGAGAUGGUUCUAUCUCAGCAGCCGCUACGGGAAUGCUCAGAGAUCAGGGUGCAAAGGAUUUCUAGUACUGCCUUCUAUGACCGGUCUUCCCAAAUGGCGUUUGGGCUACUUUGGUUCCAUCUGCUUCUGGGCUCUAGGAUUUUGAAGUAGUACAGAAAUGAUUGCAGAAUUGAGACCAGGUGUUGUUCCACAGUGCCAUUUUUAUAUCAGUGGCCCCGAGAAGGCUCAUUCAGAUCCUCCGUCUGAGCCGUGAGUGAGAAUCUUGUGAAUACUUGGUGGAACGACGGAACAAGGGCAGGAAGCAAGAAGGAACCUGCUUUCUCGAGUGCCUGAGUGCAACAGUGUGCCUCGGCAUCUCUCUAGCGGGAAGCUGUGCGGUGAAAAUCAUUUCAGGCUUCUCAUGAUAAAAGCUCAAGGCCUGAGAAAUGUCUCCAAGUUGUUUAUUUUUUCAGUCCCCAACAGGGAUUUUGAAAUAAAGUUCACUGUGAUGUGCUCGAAAUGCUCUCAGCUCAUGUCCCCAGAUUCAAACUUUUCCCUCCUUGACUUGGAUCCUGAGCAUCUCCUGGAGCAGCUCACUGUGUGGGUCCCGGACGUGACUUUUCCCACGGUGGAGGCUGCCAGGCAGCCACAUCCCCUGCCCGUGGGGAUGGCUUCAGAAGGAGGUAGGCCUGUAGGUGGGGUUGGACGUGUCAGAGUGCCGGCCAUUCCUGAAAUCCUUGGGAUUCAAACGUGACACUGGCUAGGGGCACUGUAGGCGGGGUCGGUACAGGAAGGGGAGCUCACUGGACACCCGAGGACAGCUCACCUGGGGGACUAGGAGGCUGGGAGUCCGCAGAAACCUGCAAGGACCCUGGGGAGGAGGGCUCCUUGAAGGCGGGUCAAGACCUGGCAGGGGAAAUGCCCUGUGUGUGCAGAAAGGAUGGUGGCAGGAGCACUGAUUCUCUCUGGAGGCCAAGAAUCACUUGGACAGUUUGGAGGGUGAGGUGGGAGUGUGUCAAGCUGGUGGCACAGGCAGGGGCAGGGGGAGAGGCGGUCUUGGCCAGAACGUUGUUCCGUGGGGCCAUCUGUGGCCAAGUCUGCAAUGACGGGUCCUCUCUGAGACCUGGGCUGGAGGUCAGUCUGACACCCCAGCCCAGGGCUUCCCGUCCUGCUGGCCUAGAGCUGACGUGCCCCCAGGCCAGGUAGCCCUGGUCUUGGAUUCAGCAGGGACAGGGCACCAGGUGGCCUCAGCGUAGGGCUUGGGUUCCUCAGCUGCUCUGGGUCACUCUCCCUCUUGAGACGCAGUGCGCACCUGCUUCCUCUCGGCCUGUUUCCUG